rnacentral:rRNA from 1 species
GUCCACGCCGUAAACGUUGGGCGCUAGGUGUGGGGUUCUUCCACGGAUUCCGCGCCGUAGCUAACGCAUUAAGCGCCCCGCCUGGGGAGUACGGCCGCAAGGCUAAAACUCAAAGGAAUUGACGGGGGCCCGCACAAGCGGCGGAGCAUGUUGCUUAAUUCGACGCAACGCGAAGAACCUUACCAAGGCUUGACAUUGCCGGAAAACCAUCAGAGAUGGUGGGUCCUUUUGGGCCGGUGACAGGUGGUGCAUGGCUGUCGU